rnacentral:rRNA from 1 species
AACGAACGCUGGCGGCAGGCCUAACACAUGCAAGUCGAGCGAGGACUUCGGUCCUAGCGGCGGACGGGUGAGUAACGCGUGGGAACGUGCCCUUUGCUUCGGAAUAGCCCUGGGAAACUGGGAGUAAUACUGGAUGAGCCCUUUGGGGGAAAGAUUUAUCGGCGAAGGAUCGGCCCGCGUUGGAUUAGGUAGUUGGUGGGGUAAUGGCCUACCAAGCCGACGAUCCAUAGCUGGUUUGAGAGGAUGAUCAGCCACACUGGGACUGAGACACGGCCCAGACUCCUACGGGAGGCAGCAGUGGGGAAUCUUAGACAAUGGGGGAAACCCUGAUCUAGCCAUGCCGCGUGAGCGAUGAAGGCCUUAGGGUUGUAAAGCUCUUUCAGCUGGGAAGAUAAUGACGGUACCAGCAGAAGAAGCCCCGGCUAACUCCGUG